GUUUUCUGAAGCCAUUUUUAUUUUUCAACUACGAGGCGUACUCGUCACCUAUGUUCGAAAUUUUUUUCACGCCAAUUGCAUUGAGAAAAUCAGUCAAGGAUCGCCAUUUUCUCGUCACGUCUGUGCGAAAUAUUUGCGCCUUGUCAAUUGUUGUCGAUCACUUUCCAACGCUACGAUAACAAUUGUGUGAAAAGUGUUGAAGUACCGACGGCAGACAUAAAUUUCGUCUUGCAUUCAGCGUUCCACUUCAUAGACUGUUGUGCAAGAGAAUUUGAUGCUUCGAGCCAUUUAUUAACAACACAGAACAAUU